CCUACGGGAGGCAGCAGUGGGGGAUAUUGCACAAUGGGGGGAACCCUGAUGCAGCGACGCCGCGUGGGUGAAGAAGCGCCUCGGCGCGUAAAGCCCUGUCAGCAGGGAAGAAAAUGACGGGACCUGAAGAAGAAGCCCCGUCUAACUACGUACCAGCAGCCGCGGUAAUACGUAGGGGGCAAGCGUUAUCCGGAUGUACUGGGUGUAAAGGGGGCGCAGACGGCGAUGCAAGCACGGAGUGAAAGCCCGGGGCCCAACCCCGGGACUGCGCUUGGAACUGCGUGGCUGGAGUGCAGGAGGGGCAGGCGGAAUUCCUGGUGUAGCGGUGAAAUGCGUAGAUAUCAGGAGGAACACCGGUGGCGAAGGCGGCCUGCUGGACUGAAACUGACGUUGAGGCCCGAAAGCGUGGGGAGCGAACAGGAUUAGAUACCCGGGUAGUC
rnacentral:rRNA from 1 species